AGAGUUUGAUCAUGGCUCAGAUUGAACGCUGGCGGAAUGCUUUACACAUGCAAGUCGAGCGGCAGCGNNNGGCAACCCUGGCGGCGAGCGGCGAACGGGUGAGUAACACAUCGGAACGUACCCAGUUGUGGGGGAUAGCUCGGCGAAAGCCGGAUUAAUACCGCAUAAGACCUGGGGGUGAAAGCGGGGGAUCGCAAGACCUCGCGCGAUUGGAGCGGCCGAUGUCGGAUUAGCUAGUUGGUAGGGUAAAGGCCUACCAAGGCGACGAUCCGUAGCUGGUCUGAGAGGACGACCAGCCACACUGGAACUGAGACACGGUCCAGACUCCUACGGGAGGCAGCAGUGGGGAAUUUUGGACAAUGGGGGCAACCCUGAUCCAGCCAUUCCGCGUGAGUGAAGAAGGCCUUCGGGUUGUAAAGCUCUUUCGGCAGGAACGAAACGGUCUUCUCUAACAUAGAAGGCUAAUGACGGUACCUGAAGAAGAAGCACCGGCUAACUACGUGCCAGCAGCCGCGGUGAUACGUAGGGUGCGAGCGUUAAUCGGAAUUACUGGGCGUAAAGCGUGCGUAGGCGGUUUUGUAAGACAGGUGUGAAAUCCCCGGGCUCAACCUGGGAACUGCGCUUGUGACUGCAAGACUUGAGUGCGGCAGAGGGGGGUGGAAUUCCACGUAGCAGUGAAAUGCGUAGAGAUGUGGAGGAACACCGAUGGCGAAGGCAGCCCCCUGGGUCGACACUGACGCUCAGGCACGAAAGCGUGGGUAGCAAACAGGAUUAGAUACCCUAGUAGUCC
rnacentral:rRNA from 1 species